AGAAUCAACGCUGGCGGCGUGCCUAACACAUGCAAGUCGAACGAGAAAGUGGGAGCAAUCCCAUUAGUAAAGUGGCGCACGGGUGAGUAACACGUGACUAACCUACCCUUGAGUGGGGGAUAACCUAGGGAAACCUGGGCUAAUACCGCAUAAUACCUACGGGUCAAAGGAGCAAUUCGCUUUAGGAGGGGGUCGCGGCAGAUUAGUUAGUUGGCGGGGUAAUGGCCCACCAAGACAGUGAUCUGUAUCCGGCCUGAGAGGGCGCACGGACACACUGGAACUGAAACACGGUCCAGACUCCUACGGGAGGCAGCAGUGGGGAAUUUGCGCAAUGGGGGAAACCCUGACGCAGCAACGCCGCGUGGAGGAUGAAGCCCCUUGGGGCGUAAACUCCUUUCGAUCGGGAAGAUAAUGACGGUACCGGAAGAAGAAGCCCCGGCUAACUUCGUGCCAGCAGCCGC
rnacentral:rRNA from 1 species